rnacentral:rRNA from 1 species
AUUGAACGCUGGCGGCAUGCUUUACACAUGCAAGUCGAACGGCAGCGCGGGCUUCGGCCUGGCGGCGAGUGGCGAACGGGUGAGUAAUACAUCGGAACGUGCCCAGUAGUGGGGGAUAGCUCGGCGAAAGCCGGAUUAAUACCGCAUACGACCUGAGGGUGAAAGGGGGGGAUCUUCGGACCUCGCGCUAUUUGAGCGGCCGAUGGCAGAUUAGCUAGUUGGUGGGGUAAAGGCCUACCAAGGCGACGAUCUGUAGCUGGUCUGAGAGGACGACCAGCCACACUGGGACUGAGACACGGCCCAGACUCCUACGGGAGGCAGCAGUGGGGAAUUUUGGACAAUGGGCGAAAGCCUGAUCCAGCAAUGCCGCGUGUGUGAUGAAGGCCUUCGGGUUGUAAAGCACUUUUGGCGGGAACGAAAAGGACUGUGCCAAUACCACGGUUCGAUGACGGUACCCGCAGAAUAAGCACCGGCUAACUACGUG